rnacentral:tRNA from 1 species
GCGGACAUAAGUUGGGAGAGCGUCAGACUGAAGUCCUUCAAUCACUUAAUCUGAAGGUCGUGUGUUCAAUCCACACUGGCCGCA